UACAGAGGUCUCAAGCGUUGUUCGGAUUCAUUGGGCGUAAAGGGUGCGUAGGCGGCGCGGUAAGUCGGGUGUGAAAUCUCGGGGCUUAACUCCGAAACUGCAUUCGAUACUGCCGGGCUUGAGUAUGGGAGAGGUGAGUGGAAUUUCCGGUGUAGCGGUGAAAUGCGUAGAUAUCGGAAGGAACACCUGUGGCGAAAGCGGCUCACUGGACCAUAACUGACGCUGAUGCACGAAAGCUAGGGGAGCAAACAGG
rnacentral:rRNA from 1 species